AUGGACCUUUACUACCCCACCAGCCAGGACAAUCCUGUCUCCUGUUGUGGUGCUUGGAUGCACUUGGCAGUGCUAGCGGGCUUGGAGAUGACCACCCUGCUGAGCCGUGCCUGGGCUGAGGGCCUGAUGGAUGGGAGAUUGGUCUUCCUGCCCUACGACACGCUGCUCUUCUCCCUGCCUUACUGCAACCACUCCUACCUGUCUCUCAGCACUGGUGGGCCCCUGCGAGAGGCCUAUGAUGCAAUGCUCACCCUUCAGCCUAGAACCAUCCCUGAGUCUCAGGCGUAUCUGGAGGCGGGCAGCCUUCCACCCCCAGCCCUCUCUGGCUGCUGCAUGAGGACUCUUGGCAACUUGGGAACGGUGCAACCGGGGACCAGCAGAUGCAUCAGGCCCAGGGGUUCCAGACCUGAGCCCGAGGCAGAGGGGCUGCAUGGAGACAAUGUUCAAUUGGGCAUCCAGCAGCUGCAGCUGGUGUGGGCGCCACCAGAUCCUGCUGACAGCCCAGGAGCUCACCUUCAUCCAUUCGCCCCUGAACAGAUGGAGGCUACAUGUGAAUGACGAAUGGGGAAUUGUGGCAGAUGGUGGGAGCCUGAGAUCAGUGGCCCAGGGGUCAGCAAAGAGUCUGCCAGCCCCCAGGAACCCACCAGUGUGGCCCUGUACCAAGGAGACUGGGUGUGGCUGAAGAAGUGUGAAGUGGGCUGAGACCUGGAACUGCGCCCGAGCUGCCUCAGCCUCCUGAGGAAGAUGCGGGAGCUGCAGUGUGAGAACGUCGCCACUGGGCUUUUUCGUGACCCCUGGGGUGAGUGCUCUGGUUCUGGAGAACCUGCUGCGGAACGAGGCUCUGCACCUAGACUGGACAUUCAAGGCCUCCCUGCUGCUGGAUUUGAUCUGCGGCAUGAGGUAUCUGCACCACUGACAUUUCCCUCCUGGCUGCCUCAAGUCCCAAAACUGUGUGGUGGACAGACACUUUGUGCUCAAGGUCACUGACCAUGGUUAUGCAGAGCCCCUGGACACUCAGCAGGCUCCCCAACCCUGGCCAGCCCCCGAAUAGCUGCUAUGGGCAGCUCCUGAGCUGCUGCAGAGGCCUGGGUGCCCUGGGUGAGGCACCCUCACAGGGGACAUCUUCAGCACUGCCAUCAUCCUGCAGGAGGUGCUGCCUCGGGACCCACCCUACUGCUCCUCGGGAUUCCCAGUGGAAGAAAUCAUCAGGAGGGUGGCAUCUCCCCCUCCUCUGUGCUGGCCGCUGGUGACCCCUGAUCACAGGCCACAUGAGUGCUGAAGCGGUGCUGGGAGGAGCUCCAGAGGACAGACCUAGCGUGGACCAGAUCUACAGCCAGUUCAAAAGCAUCAACCAAGGCAAGAAGACCAGUUUUGCUGACUCCAUGCUGCGGUUGCUGGAGAAAUAUUCCCAGAACCUGGAGGACCUGAUCCAGGAGCAGACUGAGGAACUGGAGCUGAAGAGAGAGAAGACAGAGAGGCUGCUCUGUCAGGUGAUUCCCCUGUCUGUGGCCAACGUUCUGAAAAUGGGGGUAACUGUGGAACAGGUUCCCAUAUACUUCAGUAAUAUUGUAGGUUUCACCAUCAUCUCAGCCCUGAGUGAACCCAUUGAGGUGGUGGGCUUGCUCAACGAUCCCUACAUGCUGUUUGAUGCUAUUCUGGGCAGCCAUGACGUGUGUAAGGUGGAGACCACUGGGGAUGCCUACAUGGUGGUGUCGGGGCUGCCUCAGCACAAUGGGAGUCAGCAUGUCGCUGAAAUCAACAACAUGGCCCUGGAUAUCCUCAGCUCUGUGGGUGACUUCUGGAUGAGGCAUGCACCCAACGUGCCCGUUUGCAUGAGGGCUGGCCUGCAUUCAGGGUCCUGUGCAGCAGGGGUCAUGGGUCUCACGAUGCCUCGGUCUUGCCUCUUUGGGGACACUGUUAACACGGCCUCCCGGAUGGAGUCCACAGGACUGUCGUACAGAAUUCAUGUCAGCCGAAGCACUGUCCAGAUACUGCUCAGCCUUGAUGAAAGCUACCAAACUGAUAACAGAGGUCACACUGAGCUGAAGGGGAAGGGCAUCGAAGAGACCUACUGGCUGCGCAGGAAGGCAGGUUUCCCCAGGCCCCUCCUCGCACCUGUGGACAUCAAACCUGGAGACCCUUGGUAAGACUUCAUAAACCAAGAAAUCAAGGUGGCCUUUGCCAAAGCCUGUCAGGACACGGAAGACCUUGGCCAGGCCCUGAGGAGAACAGUGUGGGGCAGGUGCCUGCACCAGCAUGGAGCCUCCUGUGUCUACCCCCUUCCCCCUCCCUGCUCCACUUCCUUCAAAGACUUCCUUGCUGAGCUCCCUGGUGGCCAAACCGCUGUGACCUGGACUUCCUUGCACAAGUCCCUCUUGCUGGAGGCCCCAGUCCAUCAGGACCGGCGCAGGUUUCCGCGGCCUGAGAGACUCUUUGAGCAAUCCACUAGGGGGCAGUCUACCUGCAGCACAGAUCUUGCGACGUCACUUUUCGACUUAGCAAGUGUGCACUACUGA